UACGAAGGGUGCAAGCGUUAAUCGGAAUUACUGGGCGUAAAGCGUGCGUAGGCGGUUUCUUAAGUCUGCUGUGAAAUCCCCGGGCUCAACCUGGGAAUGGCAGUGGAUACUGGGUGGCUAGAGUGUGUCAGAGGAUGGUGGAAUUCCCGGUGUAGCGGUGAAAUGCGUAGAGAUCGGGAGGAACAUCAGUGGCGAAGGCGGCCAUCUGGGACAACACUGACGCUGAGGCACGAAAGCGUGGGGAGCAAACAGG
rnacentral:rRNA from 1 species